GUCUCUUGGAGACAUCAGAUAAAAUUUGAACGAUACAGAGAACAUUAGCAUGGCCCUGAACAAGGAUGACACUUACACUGGAUAUGCGGUAGUUGUCAAA